UACGUAGGGUCCGAGCGUUGUCCGGAAUUACUGGGCGUAAAGAGCUCGUAGGUGGUUUGUCGCGUUGUUCGUGAAAACUCACAGCUCAACUGUGGGCGUGCGGGCGAUACGGGCAGACUUGAAUACUGCAGGGGAGACUGGAAUUCCUGGUGUAGCGGUGGAAUGCGCAGAUAUCAGGAGGAACACCGGUGGCGAAGGCGGGUCUCUGGGCAGUAACUGACGCUGAGGAGCGAAAGCGUGGGGAGCGAACAGG
rnacentral:rRNA from 1 species